rnacentral:rRNA from 1 species
CUUGGUCAUUUAGAGGAAGUAAAAGUCGUAACAAGGUUUCCGUAGGUGAACCUGCGGAAGGAUCAUUAAAAAAAAGAGAAACGUCCCGUUUUUUUCAUAAGAAUGGGUUCUACUCCCUUAAACCGCGUCUACAUACCUUUGUUGCUUUGGCAGGCCGCCUUCGGGCGUCGGCUCCGGCUGAUAGUGCCUGCCAGAGGACCCAAACUCUAUGUUUAGUGAUGUCUGAGUACUAUAUAAUAUUUAAAACUUUCAACAACGGAUCUCUUGGUUCUGGCAUCGAUGAAGAACGCAGCGAAAUGCGAUAAGUAAUGUGAAUUGCAGAAUUCAGUGAAUCAUCGAAUCUUUGAACGCACAUUGCGCCCCUUGGUAUUCCGAGGGGCAUACCUGUUCGAGCGUCAUUAUAACCACUCAAGCCUGGCUUGGUAUUGGGGUUUUCGCGUGUUCGCGGCCCUUAAAAUCAGUGGCGGUGCCGUCUGGCUCUAAGCGUAGUAAUUCUCUCGCUAUAGGGCUCCGGUAGUUGCUUGCCAAAACCCCCCUAUUUCUCACGGUUGACCUCGGAUCAGGUAGGGAUACCCGCUGAACUUAAGCAUAUCAAUAAGCGGAGGA